rnacentral:rRNA from 3 species
UACAGAGGGUGCGAGCGUUGUCCGGAAUCACUGGGCGUAAAGGGCGCGUAGGUGGUGGCUUAAGCGUGCGGUGAAAGCUCGGAGCUCAACUCCGAGUCGGCCGUGCGAACUGGGCUCACUGGAGCAUAGUAGAGGCAGGUGGAAUUCCGGGUGUAGCGGUGGAAUGCGUAGAGAUCCGGAAGAACACCGGUGGCGAAGGCGGCCUGCUGGGCUAUGGCUGACACUGAGGCGCGACAGCGUGGGGAGCAAACAGG